AACUAGAGUCUUGUAGAGGGGGGUAGAAUUUCAGGUGUAGCGGUGAAAUGCGUAGAGAUCUGAAGGAAUACCGGUGGCGAAGGCGGCCCCCUGGACAAAGACUGACGCUCAGGUACGAAAGCGUGGGGAGCAAACAGGAUUAGAUACCCUGGUAGUCCACGCCGUAAACGAUGUCUACUCGGAGUUUGGUGCCUU
rnacentral:rRNA from 1 species